GUUUCAUUUGGAACAACAAUAGUUGUUCCGUUAUCGUUGAUUGUUGAUCUAAUACAGUCGACCAGGUGACAACAAUCACGUUGAAAAAUCAUUUAUUUAUAGUUGGCCGGAAACUAAAGCUGCUGUCACUUGGACUAUUCCGUAGCAGCCACCCGAGUAGUCGUCCUCGUCCCUGCACUGCACGUCGAUCUCAGCAGUUACCGGUGAUGACAUGAAACACGAUGGCGUGCUGUCGCUCCCGUCACACCUACAUCAAUCCGCGCGUCACCUUUGUGGACCAGCGCAGGUGGAAGUGCAAUCUGUGUUACCAGUACCAGGUGAGUUCAUGUGGAACCCAGUCACAAGGUCAUACGUUGAACCACACAAGAGGCCAGAGGUCCAGAAUUCCACCGUGGAGUUCAUCGCCUCCUCAGACUACAUGGUCUCAAGGAAGUGGUUUAUCUUUCUGACAAGUACUAUGAUACACCUGAAACCAAAGCUUCCAAAAAGAUGCUUGACAUGGCGGGGAUAGUGUACAAAGCAGGCUGCUCUCGGGGCUCUUGGCGUCCACGUCUCCCCAGUAGGGCAGGAUGAAGGGCAGGUCAGCCACACGGCUCUCCAGCAGCCUCCACAGAUGCUGGGCCACAAACUGGUUUCCUUUCUCUGAGAGAUGCAACCCAUCAGACAGUGUCCAGAGAUCCAGGACCUCUACAUCACACUGACCAGCAGCUUCGACACACGCCUGGGCAUACUGCCCCGCUACAGAGUUGUGGCGAUUGAGAGGACAUCCUGCAGGAG